UUCUCUGUGGCGCAAUUGGUGGCGCGUCUGACUGUUAAUCAGAAGGUCGACAGUUCGAUCCUGUCCGGAGGAG
rnacentral:tRNA from 1 species